rnacentral:misc_RNA from 1 species
UCCGGUUUGUCACCGGCAGUCUCGCAUGAGUCCCCAACUAAAUGCUGGCAACAUGCGACGGGGGUUGCGCUCGUUGCGGGACUUAACCCAACAUCUCACGACACGAGCUGACGACAGCCAUGCACCACCUGUGAUCCUGCCCCGAAGGGAAUCCCUGUUUCCAGGGAGGUCAGGAACAUGUCAAGCCCAGGUAAGGUGGGGAUGACGUAGCUAAGCCUUC